rnacentral:rRNA from 1 species
AAAUUGAAGAGUUUGAUCAUGGCUCAGAUUGAACGCUGGCGGCAGGCCUAACACAUGCAAGUCGAACGGUAACAGGAAGAAGCUUGCUUCUUUGCUGACGAGUGGCGGACGGGUGAGUAAUGUCUGGGAAACUGCCUGAUGGAGGGGGAUAACUACUGGAAACGGUAGCUAAUACCGCAUAACGUCGCGAGACCAAAGAGGGGGACCUUCGGGCCUCUUGCCAUCGGAUGUGCCCAGAUGGGAUUAGCUAGUAGGUGGGGUAACGGCUCACCUAGGCGACGAUCCCUAGCUGGUCUGAGAGGAUGACC